rnacentral:rRNA from 1 species
UGCCAGCAGCCGCGGUAAUACGGAGGGUGCAAGCGUUGCUCGGAAUUACUGGGCGUAAAGCGUGCGUAGGCGGACUUUCAAGUCGAAUGUGAAAGCCCGGAGCUCAACUCCGGAAUUGCAUCCGAUACUGUUGGUCUAGAGUACUGGAGAGGGAAGCGGAAUUCCAGGAGUAGCGGUGAAAUGCGUAGAUAUCUGGAAGAACACCUGUGGCGGAAGCGGCUUCCUGGACAGAUACUGACGCUGAGGCACGAAAGCGUGGGGAGCAAACAGGAUUAGAUA